rnacentral:rRNA from 1 species
GAACGCACCUUGCGCCUUUUGGUAUUCCGAAAGGCAUGCCUGUUUGAGUGUCAUGAAACCUCAAUCCUCUCGGGUUUUGUAAUGAAACCUGUCUGGACUUGGAUGUGGGCGUCUGCCGCAGACCCGUUCUGUGGCUCGCCUCAAAAGUGUCAGUGGGGAUGUUGACUAUUCCACCACGGCUCGGACGUAAUAAGUUUCGUCUGGCCAGGUGUGUCGGCUCCUGCUCAUAACCCUCUGCCUCUGUGCAGAACUUUCUGACUCUGACCUCAAAUCAGGUAGGGCUACCCGCUGAACUUAAGCAUAUCAAUAAGCGGAGGAAAAGAAACUAACAAGGAUUCCCCUAGUAACGGCGAGUGAACCGGGAAGAGCUCAAAUUUGAAAUCUGGCUCCCUCAGGGUGUCCGAGUUGUAAUCUAUAGAAUCGUUUUCCGCGCCGGACCGUGUCCAAGUUCCUUGGAACAGGAUAUCAAAGAGGGUGACAAUCCCGUACUUGACACGAUGACCGGUGCUCUGUGAUACGUCUUCUACGAGUCGAGUUGUUUGGGAAUGCAGCUCAAAAUGGGUGGUGAGUUCCAUCUAAAGCUAAAUAUUGGCGAGAGACCGAUAGCGAACAAGUACCGUGAGGGAAAGAUGAAAAGCACUUUGGAAAGAGAGUUAAACAGUACGUGAAAUUGUUAAAAGGGAAACGAUUGAAGUCAGUCGUGUCUGGGAGGCUCAGCCGGUUCUGCCGGUGUAUUCCUCUCAGACGGGUCAACAUCAGUUUUGUCCGGUGGAUAAGGGCGACAGGAAGGUGGCACCUCCGGGUGUGUUAUAGCCUGUUGUCGCAUACACUGGGUGAGACUGAGGAAUGCAGCUCGCC